AUGGAUGCUGACCAAAGCUUCUUGGACACCCUUGGUUUUGGUUACACGCAAACACAACCAGAAAGUCCAAUUGGAGAGCAGGCAACUCCAUCAACUCAGCAUCAAGCAACACCAUCAACGCAGCAACGUUCUGCAAUAAUAGAGAAAGGAAAAUCCAACAAGGGAAAAAAUUGGUCUAGUGAUGAGGACAAGGUUCUCAUAGCAGCAUGGGCAAAUACAAGUUUGGAUAUUGUUGGGACUGAUCAAAACCGAGAUGCUUAUUGGGCUAGAAUUUCAGAGUACUACAACACACACAAGGAAUCGUCAUUGGCGGAGCGUAAUCCUAAUGCAAUCAAUUGCCGUUACACAUUGAUUAACAGAGAGACCUCCAAAUUUUGUGGUUGCCUUCAGUACAUUUUAAAUAAGGAAGAAAGUGGAAGGACUAUAGCAGAAAAGACAAACGAUGCACACAUUCUGUUCAAGGAAAUGGAUUUAAAAAAACGGCCUUUCACAUUGAUGCAUUGCUAUAUAGAGUUUGCAAAGUAUCCAAAGUGGCAGGCAAGAGAACUUGAAACUUCUCUUAAGAAACAAAAGAAGACCGUUGAUGGAAGUCCAGGCACAGCCACCAAUGAUCCGUCCGAUGCAUCCUCGGUACGCACUGAUGCAACCUCGAUACACACUGAUGCUCUUGAACAUGAGAAAAGACCUGAUGGUGUUAAGAAGGACAAGAGAGGUAAAGCUGAUGAGAAUGCUUGCAAGCUGUCAUUAGAAACUGUGUGGGCAGCAAAGCAAGAGAAGGAUGAGAUCAAAGAAGCGGCAAGAAAUGCUCGCUAUGCACAUCAAUUUGAAUUGCGAAAAGAGGAGCUUGCACUCAGAAAGAAGGAGGAUGCACAAAACGAGAGGGAGGAUGCACGGAGACAGUUUGAAUUAGAUGAGAGGGUCAUGCUGAUCGACACUAGUGGUAUGACUGAUGUGCAAAAGCAGUUCUACCAAGAUAAGCAGAAUGAGAUCCUUGCUCGAGGCCUAGAGUAA
rnacentral:rRNA from 1 species